UGGGGAAUUUUGCACAAUGGGCGCAAGCCUGAUGCAGCGACGCCGCGUGAGGGAUGAAGGCCUUCGGGUUGUAAACCUUUUUCGCUCAUGGUCAAGCCGCAGCUUGGGGUUGUGGUGAGGGUAGUGGGUAAAGAAGCCCCGGCUAAUUACGUGCCAGCAGCCGCGGUAAUACGUAAGGGGCGAGCGUUGUCCGGAAUUAUUGGGCGUAAAGAGUGCGUAGGCGGCAAAUUAAGUCAGAUGUGAAAACUAAGGGCUCAACCCAUAGAUUGCAUCUGAAACUGAUAUGCUUGAGUCAAGGAGAGGAAAGUGGAAUUCCUAGUGUAGCGGUGGAAUGCGUAGAUAUUAGGAGGAAUCCCGGUGGCGAAGGCGACUUUCUGGACUUGAACUGACGCUGAGGCACGAAAGCGUGGGGAGCAAACAGG
rnacentral:rRNA from 1 species